rnacentral:pre_miRNA from 1 species
UAGUUUUUGACCAUCGAUGUCUUCGAAUCAUCGUUUGUGUUAGCUGGGAUUACAAAGUAGGUAAUAACGAGGUUAGACGACGAGUGUUAUGAAUCU